GAUGAACGCUGGCGGCGUGCCUAAUACAUGCAAGUCGAGCGAACAGACGAGGAGCUUGCUCCUCUGACGUUAGCGGCGGACGGGUGAGUAACACGUGGAUAACCUACCUAUAAGACUGGGAUAACUUCGGGAAACCGGAGCUAAUACCGGAUAAUAUAUUGAACCGCAUGGUUCAAUAGUGAAAGACGGUUUUGCUGUCACUUAUAGAUGGAUCCGCGCCGCAUUAGCUAGUUGGUAAGGUAACGGCUUACCAAGGCAACGAUGCGUAGCCGACCUGAGAGAGUGAUCGGCAACACUGGAGCUGAGACACGGUCCAGACUCCUACGGGAGGCAGCAGUAGGGAAUCUUCCGCAAUGGGCGAAAGCCUGACGGAGCAACGCCGCGUGAGUGAUGAAGGUCUUCGGAUCGUAAAACUCUGUUAUUAGGGAAGAACAAAUGUGUAAGUAACUAUGCACGUCUUGACGGUACCUAAUCAGAAAGCCACGGCUAACUACGUG
rnacentral:rRNA from 1 species